rnacentral:lncRNA from 1 species
AUGUGGCGUUCAGUAUUCAGCCGCACAACUUCUUCAGACACUGAUGGCUUUGAGGAGCUUGACAGCUGUUAUUUGGAGCCUGAUGGGUUCCUUUUACCGAUUUUUGAUUCCAGAGAUGAACAGUUACCCACCUCUGAAACAACUGAGGUUCCCGAAAAUCCCGAACCAAAUGACCAGUACAGUCAUACAAUUCCUUCAGAUACUGAUGUCUUUGAUUGUACAGAAUAUUAUUUUGAAGAUGAUGGGCCCGUUUUCCCAAUUAUUGAUUCCGGAGAUGAACAGUUACCCACCUCUGAAUCAACUGACGUUCCUACAAGUAGUGAUACUGAUGGCUUUGAGGAGCUUGACAGCUGUUAUUUAGAGCCUGAUGGGUUCCUUUUACCGAUUUUUGAUUCCAGAGAUGAAAAAUUACCGGCCUCUGAAACAGCUGACAUUCCUACAAGCAGUAAUGUCUGUGGAAAUCUGCAACCCAGACAAAAGUAUAGUCAUACAAUUCCUUCAGAUACUGAUGUGUUUAUGCUUGAAGGAUAUUAUUUAGAACCUUAUGCGCCUGUUUUACCGAUUUCUUAUUCUAGAGAAGAACAGAGUGAAAGGAAUGGAAAAAAUGUUGUCAGAGAAAGUCUUCAAAGAGAGGAAGGAGAAACAAUUUUUUCCCGAGUUCAAACAAGCCUUUCAGCUCUUUCUUCCUUUAUUAUGGCUCCAGUUGAGUCUGUGGGCCGAGGAGUCAUUUAUGUCACCAGCCAAAUCUUUAAUAUUGGUCAAGCACCAUGUACCUCACCCACGAGUGAAUCUGAACUGUCACCCACCUCUGAAACAGCUCAGGUUCCUACAACCAGUAUUUCUGUAAACACCAAUGAAAAGGAACAGUCGACCAUCCUCCUUACUGAACCUUCAGACAUUAAUAUACCUGAAGAGAAUUUUCAAAGAGAGGAAGCAGAAACUAAUACGUCCAGACUCCAUAAAAGAAUUGCGGAUCUUUAUUCCUCUUGUACAUCUCCAGAGUCUGUGAGCCAAAAAGAAACUACUGAGGUUCCCACACCGAGUGUUUCUGUAAACACAGACGAAAAUGAAGAGUCACCCACAUCUAAAAGAUUUGUAGAUUCGAGGGAGCGUUAUAAUACACCCGACUCUGCAUUCUUGUUUGAACCUGAGAACACAACAAGGGAACAAAGAUUCAAUUUGACACCUAAAAGUGAGGAAAGAGCUGAGGUUCCCACAACCAGUGUUCAUAUGAACAACCGUGAACAUGAACAGUCUCCCACCAGUGAAACCCAGGUUCCUACAACCAGUGAUGUUCAUGAAAGACCUCAGCCAGGAGAAGGGUAUAGUUUAAAUGAAACAAACAACCCUCCCACUCCAGCUAGUAUUGCUUCAAAAAUGUUUAAAGACAACUGGGUCAUGGAUACUGUACGCAGCUGGGCAUCUUUGCUUAAACCUCGGAACACGAAAAAGGAACAAACGAUUGUAUACAGAUUUAAAAGUCCGCAAAGCAACGAAGAGUCGCCCUCUGAAACAACUGAGGUUAUCACUAUUGUUUCUGUAGAUACACAUGAAAAUGAAAAGUCACCCAACUCAAAAAGAGUUGUAUAUUCAAGGGACCAGUUUAUUAAGCCCAACUCAACGGAGGUUCCUACAAGCAAUGUUCAUAUGAACAACUCCGAAGAUGAAGACACUUCGACCAGUGAGAGUUAG